GCGAACGCUGGCGGCAGGCUUAACACAUGCAAGUCGAGCGGGCACUUCGGUGUCAGCGGCAGACGGGUGAGUAACACGUGGGAACGUACCCUUUGGUUCGGAAUAACGCUGGGAAACUAGCGCUAAUACCGGAUACGCCCUUUUGGGGAAAGGCUUGCUGCCGAAGGAUCGGCCCGCGUCUGAUUAGCUAGUUGGUGGGGUAAUGGCCUACCAAGGCGACGAUCAGUAGCUGGUCUGAGAGGAUGAUCAGCCACACUGGGACUGAGACACGGCCCAGACUCCUACGGGGGGCAGCAGUGGGGAAUAUUGGACAAGGGGCGCAAGCCUGAUCCAGCCAUGCCGGGGGAGUGAUGAAGGCCUUAGGGUUGUAAAGCUCUUUUUUCCGGGACGAUAAUGACGGUACCGGAAGAAUAAGCCCCGGCUAACUUCGU
rnacentral:rRNA from 1 species